AAGACUUAUACCCUACCACGAGGUGCCAAGCCUCAGCUUCUUUCCACGAUGCUUUCAACAUUAAAGGUUUCAUGCUUUCAAAACCAGUACCAUGUGGGCAACUCUUACACAUUUUUCCCACAGUACAGCCCGUUCAGUUCUCCGCACUCAAUGGCUUUUCCAGUUACAAGUGUUCCAGUUCAAAGUUCCAAAUGCUUCCAAAUGCAGCACGACCAGGUUCAUCACAGCAAUACUCCACUCCUGGUCACAAUCAUUCAGAGGAGGAGCUGAAGCACAACACAGAGCAGACUGGCUUCCCCGCAGCAAUCAUCAGUAAAGACAAUUCUCUACAAUCCAGUA